GCGAGAGUGGCGGAACUGGCAGACGCGCAGGACUUAGGAUCCUGUGGGUAACUCCGUAGGGGUUCAACUCCCCUCUCUCGCACCA
rnacentral:tRNA from 2 species